CCCCCUGUUUGGCCCCCUCGAUCCGUCGCCGUAUGUUGCCUGCGCUCGCCGAGGCCACCAUGGCCGAAGCUUCGUGUCCGCGCGCGCCCGCAUGCCCCUGUCGCCUACAGCCGUGACCUUGCGCCUGUGCCCGCCGUCUUGCGCCUGCUGCCGCCUGCUCGUCGGCCGUGCCCCGCUCGUGCCGGCGCGCCCCCUCGCUCACGUACUGUUACCGCUGCUCCUGCUAUCUUCUACUGCCUGCUGCUGCAUACUGCUGCGGCUCGCCAGAUGCCGCAGCUGCUCACUGCUUCUGCUACUCUUGUGCUGCUGAUGCUCCCCUGCCGCUGCUUGGUAGCGCCGUUGCCGCUACUGGUUUUUGCUGCUGUUGCAUCCUGUCCAUGGCAACCCAGCUUCAGUCGUCAACCUGAGGUGCUCUGGGCUCAAUGCUCGAAAAAGGUUUACCUGACUAUCUCAGUCCCAGAUUCAGAAGAUGUUGUGAUCAAGACUGAACCUCAGGGCAUCUUUAGCUUCUCAGCUGUUGCUCAUGGGGAAUCUUUUAGCUUGGCUUUGGAGCUAUUCGAUUCCGUACUGCCUGAGGUCGCGGAGGUUUUGCUAGUUGGUUGUAGCCGCAAUACAUACUAUCUUGGUUUAGUUUAGUGGCAAAUAGAGACGUUUCUCUAGGACUGUGUUAUGUGAUUGAUAGGUCACUUCACUGUCCCAUGACAAGCAUCGCAGAAAAGGUUGUGGAUUUCUAGGAAGAGCGAGCUGCUGUAUAUGUAAUGCAUGAUAAUCAUAAUAACCAUUGGACCUCCUGGACUCACAUGAUAGCAAGAUGCUAGACUAAUGCUGAUUUCUGAGCGGCUACAGAAAGGUUGGAAGCAGCCUACCCAACAAUAAAUGAGCUGGCUCUUGUUGGUGCUCUAAGGCUGUGAAGCAAGCAUCGCAGCAGCUUUUGCCGUUGGCUGUGAAGGCAAAUCAAGAAAGUGAGUAUUAUAUUCAGAUAAUGCAGAGCUUACGUGUGUAUUAUAUUCAGAUAAUGCAGAGCUUGACAAGGAGGCAACUGAUGUGUUCAUUUGGUGCUUGACUCAGAGUCCAGAGUCCUCAAGCUGUGGGACAAGGACAAGCUUCAUGCAGAGAAUACCCAAGCUAAAAUUUACUGCAAUUCACAUGUUUUGAAUUAGUCAAUCUUGAAUUGUUUAAUGAUGAUAGCUAUCUUGCACCGUACUAUAAAAUCAUGGAAGCACUCUUGUUCCUCUCACACUUCAUGGGCGACAUCCACAAGCCACUGCAUGUGUGGUCCUCCUGUGACAAAGGAGAUAACACCAUCAACGUCCACUGGUACAGAAGGAAAUCUGUACUCCACCAUAUGCUGGCCUUCAUUCAUGUUUUGUCGUGAGGUCCAGGAUGAACAAGUUGGGAGAAGCAUUGGAGCUAGUUAUACUGUGAUAGCUGUGUUACCUGAUGUGAACAUUCUUUUAUUGUAAACCUGAUGUGAACCAUGUUUGAUUGUAAUAAUGUGCCAAGUUUGGCUCUUUCUGAUUGUAUUCAUGAUGUGAACCAUAUUUUUCUGGAUUAGUCGUGCUCUGUUUGAAGCA